rnacentral:rRNA from 1 species
UACGUAGGUGGCAAGCGUUGUCCGGAUUUAUUGGGUUUAAAGGGUGCGUAGGCGGCCCUGUAAGUCAGUGCUGAAAUACCCCGGCUUAACCGGGGGGGUGGCAUUGAUACUGCAGGCUUGAGUGACAGAUGAGGUAGGCGGAAUUGACGGUGUAGCGGUGAAAUGCAUAGAUAUCGUCAAGAACACCGAUAGCGAAGGCAGCUUACUGGGCUGUAACUGACGCUGAUGCACGAAAGUGUGGGGAUCAAACAGG